rnacentral:rRNA from 1 species
CGUGUAGGCGGCCGUGUAAGUCGGAUGUGAAAGCCCUCGGCUUAACCGAGGAAGUGCGUUCGAAACUGCAUGGCUUGAGUACCGGAGAGGGUGGUGGAAUUCCCGGUGUAGAGGUGAAAUUCGUAGAUAUCGGGAGGAACACCAGUGGCGAAGGCGACCACCUGGACGGAUACUGACGCUGAGACGCGAAAGCGUGGGGAGCAAACA